rnacentral:rRNA from 1 species
GACGAACCGAGCGACCGUUGUUCGGAAUCACUGGGCCUAAAGGGUGCGUAGGCGGGCCACCAAGUCUGCGGUGAAAUCCUCCGGCUCAACCGGAGCAGGGCCGCGGAUACUGGGGGCCUCGAGGGGGGUAGGGGCGUGCGGAACUGAUGGUGGAGCGGUGAAAUGCGUUGAUAUCAUCAGGAACUCCGGUGGCGAAGGCGGCACGCUGGACCCCUUCUGACGCUGAGGCACGAAAGCCAGGGGAGCGAACGGG